AUGUCUGCUGCCAAUCACCUAUCACGAUAUUGUGCCUACCUGGUGGCACACUGUCCAGAGCUACUUCCUGAAGAUGAUAAAUGGUGCAAGAGCCUCUACAAGGCCGUCGAGAAAGACGCCAAGCUUGUACUCGUCGGUCAUUAUUCAAGGGAGUUGGGGCUGUCUGAACUGGAGUACCGGAGGAGGUUGAUUGAAUUGCUAAGCGCAGAGCGUAACCAUGAGGUGCUCAAGGAUGGAGCCAAGCUCGCGGAGCGAUUGAUUGGGCUAACUGAAGAAGGAGAGGAGAUGGCGUGGAAGGCCCUUGCUGUAAGUCCCAUGCAUGUCCUGCCUAGUGUGGCCCCUGUAAGUUAG
rnacentral:rRNA from 1 species